UUGCAGUUUCUAUCUCACUGAUUGCUGCAACAAAAAAACUUGUAAAACAAUAGGAAUAAAGCAUUUCAUCUGCACUUUAGAGUGGCAUAACCAGGAAGACUAUAGUUUCACGUUAAAUGGGUCAUGCUCAACAGGAAAAAUUGACUCUGGGCUAGAGUAGUGGAACUUAAACAACAUGCCAAGUUGGUUUAAACAAGAGCAGUGAUCAACUUACAAGCAGCAGCUGGCUUCUCUGCAGACCGAUCCAGGACAGCAAUAUACAUAUCAAGAAAAAAGAA